UAAUACGAAGGGACCUAGCGUAGUUCGGAAUUACUGGGCUUAAAGAGCACGUAGGUGGUUAAGAAAGUUGGUGGUGAAAUCCCAAGGCUUAACCUUGGAACUGCCACCAAAACUUUUUAACUAGAGUAUGAUUGAGGUAAGCGGAAUUUCUAGUGUAGAGGUGAAAUUCGUAGAUAUUAGAAAGAACACCAAUUGCGAAGGCAGCUUUCUGGAUCAUAACUGACACUGAGGUGCGAAAGCAUGGGUAGCGAAGAGGAUUAGAUACCCUCGUAGUCCAUGCCGUAAACGAUGUGUGCUAGACGUUGGGAAUUUAUUUUUCAGUGUCGCAGCAAAAGCGUUAAGCACACCGCCUGGGGAGUACGACCGCAAGGUUA
rnacentral:rRNA from 1 species